AAGAGAGGUGCGUUCAAAAAAUAUCGAUCGAAGGAGAUGAAAGAUAUCGAUAUCAAUAUGGACCUUCUCCUUCUAGCAUCUCUCUUCACUCUCUUUGGACUUGUUCCGCUGUCCAGUUAGUUCUUUCUUCAUGUUCUCUGUGCAAAUUUGGUGAUUGGUGUGAAAAAUUAAAAUUUGAGGAAAAAUUUAUAAUUAAUUAAGUGGAAAUAAAAUUUGUAAAUUGUUAAAAAGUUGUUUUGUGGAGUGGAAACAUCAGCUGAUCGGGGGACAGUGAAAAUCCAGGAAGAAAGGCUUGAGUUUCGAGUGAUUUCGAGAAAAAGGGGCCAAGAUCCACCACGAGGUGACCCACCACAAAGGGAAGAGAUUGCUUCUUGGCGGAAAAAGGAAAAUUUUUAAUCCUUCUCGCCAAAUACAUUCCUUAACCAAUCUCUCUUCCCUCCUAAAGGUAUUGUACGCCUUCCCGGCCCUAUAGAUAGUGAGAAUCUCUGUGCUAAUGCUCUGCCACUGUUUUAUUUGAAGGUAACUGCACCAGGGAAAUAUAUUCUUAUUGGGAGUUUGCUGAUUCUAAUAGAGCUUUCACAUAUUUUUCCCAAAGGUAUUGUACGCCUUCCCGGCCCUAUAGAUAGUGAGAAUCUCUGUGCUAAUGCUCUGCCACUGUUUUAUUUGAAGGUUUGCAACAUAUUUUUGGCCGCAUCGAGCCUCCUGAGGAGGUAGAGGCUACCUGUGGGCUACCCUAACCAUUUACCUGCGCCAAGCAGAGGAUUCUCCAACUUUCUACGGGCAUAAAGCAUCUAGAAUGGCUACCAAGCAGUUGAGGGGUGGAAUUGUCGCAUCCGUGAAGAGGACUGAUGCCUACAUAAGUGCUCUGGGUGAAGCUGAUAUCCCAUUCAUGAGAAGGGACACUAUCAUUUCCCAAAGGGAUCUUGUGUUAUCCUUGAAAGCGCAGUUUAUCAGCAUUCAGGACCAGAUCAUCAGCUCGGCAACUGAUCAGAGAGUCAAGGAAUCCGAAGAGAUCACGAAGGACACCUUCGUGGCCGAUGUUGAUGAAUUGCUGAAUCGCAUUGGAGCAAUAUUGGCUCAUUUCCCUCCGGAAGCUCCUCAGCUACCCAAUACAGGGGAUUUCUGCACAAUCAUGAGGGAACUCAUGCACCAGAAUCGUGAGCAAAUGAAAGAGCUUUUCAAGUCUUUUUCCCCCACCCCAAAUGCUAAUAAAGUUUUCCCUGUGAAAUCGAGUAAUAAG